rnacentral:misc_RNA from 1 species
AACGCACAUUGCGCCCCUUGGUAUUCCGGGGGGCAUGCCUGUUCGAGCGUCAUUUCAACCCUCAAGCUCUGCUUGGUCUUGGGCACUGCUGGAAACAGCUUGCCUCAAAAUCAGUGGCGGUGCCAUUCGAGCUCUACGCGUAGUAAUAAACCCCUCGCGAUUGAGUCUUGAUGGAUGCUUGCCAGCAACUCUCAAUUUUUCUAAGGUUGACCUCGGAUCAGGUAGGGAUACCCGCUGAACUUAA